UCUGCUACCCCGGGAACUGGGGAUAAUUCCGGAUAACGCAUAUGUGCUGGAAUGCUUUAUGCGUAAAAUGGAUUCGUCUGCCCAAGGAUGGGUCUGCGGCCUAUCAGGUAGUAGUGGGUGUAAUGUACCUACUAGCCGACAACGGGUACGGGUUGUGAGAGCAAGAGCCCGGAGAUGGAUUCUGAGACAUGAAUCCAGGCCCUACGGGGCGCAGCAGGCGCGAAAACUUUACAAUGCGGGAAACCGUGAUAAGGGGACACCGAGUGUCAGCGUCAUACGCUGGCUGUCCGGGUGUGUAAAAUACACCUGUUAGCAAGGGCCGGGCAAGACCGGUGCCAGCCGCCGCGGUAACACCGGCGGCCCGAGUGGUGAUCGUGAUUAUUGGGUCUAAAGGGUCCGUAGCCGGUUUGGUCAGUCCUCCGGGAAAUCUGAUAGCUCAACUAUUAGGCUAUCGGGGGAUACUGCCAGACUUGGAACCGGGAGAGGUAAGAGGUACUACAGGGGUAGGAGUGAAAUCUUGUAAUCCCUGUGGGACCACCUGUGGCGAAGGCGUCUUACCAGAACGGGUUCGACGGUGAGGGACGAAAGCUGGGGGCACGAACCGGAUUAGAUACCCGGGUAGUCCCAGCCGUAAACGAUGCUCGCUAGGUGUCAGGCAUGGCGCGACCGUGUCUGGUGCCGCAGGGAAGCCGUGAAGCGAGCCACCUGGGAAGUACGGCCGCAAGGCUGAAACUUAAAGGAAUUGGCGGGGGAGCAC
rnacentral:rRNA from 1 species